GAUGAAAGCUGGCGGCGUGCCUAAUACAUGCAAGUCGAGCGAACAGACGAGGAGCUUGCUCCUCUGACGUUAGCGGCGGACGGGUGAGUAACACGUGGAUAACCUACCUAUAAGACUGGGAUAACUUCGGGAAACCGGAGCUAAUACCGGAUAAUAUAUUGAACCGCAUGGUUCAAUAGUGAAAGACGGUUUUGCUGUCACUUAUAGAUGGAUCCGCGCCGCAUUAGCUAGUUGGUAAGGUAACGGCUUACCAAGGCAACGAUGCGUAGCCGACCUGAGAGGGUGAUCGGCCACACUGGAACUGAGACACGGUCCAGACUCCUACGGGAGGCAGCAGUAGGGAAUCUUCCGCAAAGGGCGAAAGCCUGACGGAGCAACGCCGCGUGAGUGAUGAAGGUCUUCGGAUCGUAAAACUCUGUUAUUAGGGAAGAACAAAUGUGUAAGUAACUAUGCACGUCUUGACGGUACCUAAUCAGAAAGCCACGGCUAACUACGUG
rnacentral:rRNA from 1 species